AAAAGAUACAUCUCUCGUUACGUUCAUCAAAAGCCAAAUCAAGCAGAGUCUGAGUUUUUACAAAUAUGAAAACCUCAACAAAUUUAUGGAAAGCCCUGAUCAAGCAGAACAGGUACUACAGUGUAGUUCCAGCUCAGUAAUCCUCAAGUCUAGCCAUUUCUGCCCCUUUCAGACUGAAGAGGCCUCAAUUUUGCCUAUUCAAAAAGCCUUCUAGGGCUUGAAAUAGAUUAAAGCUUUGCC
rnacentral:lncRNA from 1 species